UGGGGAAUAUUGCACAAUGGGCGCAAGCCUGAUGCAGCAACGCCGCGUGAGCGAAGAAGGCCUUCGGGUCGUAAAGCUCUUUUAUAUGGGAAGAUAAUGACGGUACCAUAAGAAAAAGCCCCGGCUAACUACGUGCCAGCAGCCGCGGUAAUACGUAGGGGGCUAGCGUUGUCCGGAAUCACUGGGCGUAAAGGGUUCGCAGGCGGAAUAACAAGUCAGAUGUGAAAGGCAUGGGCUCAACCCAUGUAAGCAUUUGAAACUGUAAUUCUUGAGAAGUGGAGAGGUAAGUGGAAUUCCUAGUGUAGCGGUGAAAUGCGUAGAUAUUAGGAGGAAUACCUGUGGCGAAGGCGACUUACUGGACACAAAUCUGACGCUGAGGAACGAAAGCGUGGGUAGCAAACAGG
rnacentral:rRNA from 1 species